AUCCAGAUGACGAGUCCCAAAUCGGACGAAACGUGCGUCCUGGAU
rnacentral:hammerhead_ribozyme from 1 species